rnacentral:rRNA from 1 species
GCUAGCGUUGCUCGGAAUCACUGGGCGUAAAGGGCGCGUAGGCGGCCAUUCAAGUCGGGGGUGAAAGCCUGUGGCUCAACCACAGAAUUGCCUUCGAUACUGUUUGGCUUGAGACCGGAAGAGGUAAGUGGAACUGCGAGUGUAGAGGUGAAAUUCGUAGAUAUUCGCAAGAACACCAGUGGCGAAGGCGGCUUACUGGUCCGGAACUGACGCUGAGGCGCGAAAGCGUGGGGAGCAAACAGG